AAUCAAUUUUCAGAGAAAAGAAUGGAGAACCCAAAACUGUUACUCCAAACAGUUCCUCAAGCUCCUC
rnacentral:tRNA from 1 species